GAAAUGAAUUUAUAAUGUUGAUUUCUAUGGCGCUCACAGACACAUCCAUAUCACUCCAUACAGAUGAAGGUGGUCAUUUUAAAUGCAGAGUGAUUUAUUUUGCAAAAUGACGACAAAUAAAAGCUAAAACUGGAUCACAAAUUGAUGCUGCUCACUUGUGAAUGAAUAAAAUUCCUACUUUGUAA